AUAGCAUAACGGCCAAAUCCCGAGGCAUUCGGGAACGGAGGACCCACUUUUUAUUGGGGUUAAUUCUACUAGAUGUAGAAGGGAUGAGUAACUCUUUCGCCAUCCUACCCGUCAGCUAACUUCGUCGGCUAAAGCGAAGGAGGUC
rnacentral:sRNA from 2 species